rnacentral:rRNA from 1 species
UACGUAGGGUGCAAGCGUUGUCCGGAAUUAUUGGGCGUAAAGAGCUCGUAGGCGGUCUGUCGCGUCUGCUGUGAAAACUCGGGGCUUAACCCCGGGCCUGCAGUGGGUACGGGCAGACUAGAGUCCGGAAGAGGAGAGUGGAAUUCCCGGUGUAGCGGUGAAAUGCGCAGAUAUCGGGAAGAACACCUAUGGCGAAGGCAGCUCUCUGGGACGGUACUGACGCUGAGACGCGAAAGCGUGGGGAGCGAACAGG